CGCGCGCGGGACUCACUCCUCCAGGAGCGGCUCGGAUUGAAUGCAGCAACGCGAUUGGAGGCCGCCCGGAGCGGGAGAGGAUUCCCCCACCCCUGAACCGUUUUCGCGGGUCCGGGCGAGUGGUUUUGCAAAUGAGAUUUGCCACAGACAUUUGCCCUGCAAGUGGCAAAAUGCCCGAAGUGAAAAGAAAAAUGUUUUUUAAGAUCCAAGAAAUAAAUGAUUCACUUGGGAAAGCUCCAACACCUGCAGGCUUAGAGCUGUCACAAAGAGAAACACUGGAAUUUUUUACAAAGUCUUUUCUAGAUAUAGUAUACUUUAAAGAGGUCAGGGGUAGGGAAGAGCCCCUCCUGACUUAGGGCUACUUCUGCCAUUUCUUAAAGUACCACAUACAUACUGUGUUUAGUCUCAAGCCUCAGAGAAAAAUCAAGGAUAAUCACAUCUCUUAAGACAAACCAACGACUAAAACUUUGACCUAGCAUCCUUACUUUUAAUUUAAGUUUACUUAUUUUUAUUUUUGAGAAAUAGAGCGCGCGAGCAUGAGCAGGGGACAGGCGGAGAGACAGGGAGAGAGGGAAUCCCAAGCAGGCUCCGCACUGUCAGCAUGGAGCCCAAAGGAGCCUGAAGCGGGGCUCAAACUCACAAACCCCCCGAGAUCAUGACCAGAGCCAAGAUCAAGAGUCCGAGGCUUCACUGACUGAGCGACCCAGGCACCCCUAGCAUCCUUAGUUUUAAAGCAAUUCCCACACAUUGUCAAUUUCAUCUAAUUUGAUCCAGCUCCCGAAUGGAUAUUUUUAGUGAUAAUUUUAUGGCUGAUAAAGCCACUAUUGCAUCUAAUAAAGUUAGCAAGGAUU